CUGGAGCUAGCCCCCGUCACCUCAUUUCCCCCCCUGGUUUUCAAUCGUGGGCAUACGGCGGCGAGGCGGUUCAGAACUGAACACGGCGGAGGCGUGUAGGUGAGCGGCCUACGGCGAGUGGGUGAGCUGCCGACGGCGAGCGGCCGGCGUGCUUUGCGGGAUCUGGGCGUUCUGGACUCCAUCGGCGUUGCUUGGUGGAAUCGGCGGCACCAUGUCGACCGGCUGGAUCUGUGGCAAUGGCCGCGUGGUGCAGACGAGUGGUGGUUUCGGGAGGUGCUGCAGGCGGCAUCGACAUCCUGGUCAGCAGCCCGGCAGGCGGUGGCUGCCGGCCUAAUCCCAUGGCCAGCCUGUCAUCGCUGCGCCUCCACUCCACCCAGUCCUCGGCGCCCUCUCCACCAGGCUGUUCUUCUGCACCUCCGCCCCUGCUAGAUGUAGGUAUCCUCUUGCAGGGAACGGGCGGGUGGCAUACCAGGUCGCGAUAGCACUCUCCAACUCGGUGGAUCGUUUCUCCUGAUAGGAGGCCGCUGACAAAUUUAUGAAAUUCAUCAACACUCCGUUGUCACAAGUGCUUGGAAGAAUGUUUGCUUGGAUACAGGCAACAGGAGCUUCCAUAGUGAAUUUUGCAACCACUGCUACUGAGAUCGUUGAUGUGUCAAGAAUAUUUCAAAUACUUGUGCACUGCCAAGUCAUCCUUUAGAUAUGAAGACUAUGACCUGUGUAAUUAGAUUGAACUUUGGUUGGAACCCUGGAAGAUGGUUACUGCAUUGCUGGGAUAUAUGCCAGGCUGGCGAUGAGGCAAUUGAUGUCUAAACUGAUGUAGCAUGAAAAAAGAAUCUGCUGCCAAGGUGGAGAUCAAUCAUCGAAGUGGUCGUGUAAUGAAAUUUAUUUGAAAACAUAAUUUUGUAAUGGGUCAUUUUUUCGAUAGGAAAGCCAUAUUGGUAUUUAUUCUAUGGGCACACGAGGUUGUGCUAGUGAUUUAUAAAGAUGUGAGCAUGUCA